rnacentral:piRNA from 1 species
UGAGAAUCUAAUGCUACUGCUGAUGUGA